UCCGUAGGUGAACCUGCGGAAGGAUCAUUAAUGAAUUUAAGAGCUUCUAAUUUAACAUUAGAGCUCGCUCCUUCAUUUCCAACCCUGUGAACAUAAUUUUGAAUUGGUGAACUAACGUUUGCCAAUUCGCCCAUUACAAACUCUACAAGUUUAAGAAUGUAACAAAUACAAAACAAAAAAAACUUUCAACAACGGAUCUCUUGGGUCUCGCAUCGAUGAAGAACGCAGCGAAAUGUGAUAAGUAAUGUGAAUUGCAGAAUUCAGUGAAUCAUCGAAUCUUUGAACGCAUCUUGCGCUCUCUGGUAUUCCGGAGAGCAUGCCUGUUUGAGUGUCAUGAACUCUUCAACCCUUCAGUUCCUUGUGAACUGUCAAGGUGUUUGGAUUUUGAAUGUUGCUGGUCCUUGCGGACGUAGCUCAUUCGUAAUACAUUAGCAACUCAAUUUCGUACAUUCGGAUUGACUCGGGGUAAUAGACUUAUUCGCUGAGGACACUUUUACUAGUGGGCGAAUUUCGAGGUAGUAGCUUCUAACUUGAUCUCUAAGUCAAAUUUUAAGAUUAGACCUCAAAUCAGGGAGGAUUACCCGCUGAACUUAAGCAUAUCAAUAAGCGGAGGA
rnacentral:rRNA from 1 species